rnacentral:rRNA from 1 species
CCUACGGGUGGCAGCAGUGAGGAAUAUUGGUCAAUGGCCGGAAGGCUGAACCAGCCAAGCCGCGUGAAGGACGAAGGUGCCAAGCAUUGUAAACUUCUUUUGUCAAGGGACAAAAUCAGGCUCGAGAGCCUGACCGAGGGUACUUGAAGAAAAAGCAUCGGCUAACUCCGUGCCAGCAGCCGCGGUAAUACGGAGGAUGCGAGCGUUAUCCGGAUUUAUGGGGUUAAAAGGGUGCGUAGGCGGGCUGUUAAGUCAGCGGUAAAAGCCCGGGGCUCAACCCCGGCGAGCCGUUGAAACUGUCUGUCUUGAGAUGUCGAGAGGUAUGCGGAAUGCGCAGUGUAGCGGUGAAAUGCUUAGAUAUUGCGCAGAACUCCGAUUGCGAAGGCAGCAUACCGGCGGCGAUCUGACGCUGAGGCACGAAAGCGUGGGUAUCGAACAGGAUUAGAUACCCCAGUAGUC